UAGUUGUUCCCUUUCUGAUGCAGGCAAAUUACGAGCAUUGCACUAUUGUCUGCAAAUAUAGGACAGAAGAGGGAGCUAAAAGAUGCUCGAAAGUCACUCAUAGAGUCUGCUAAGGACCUGCAGGAAACAAACAAUAUAUUGCAUUUUGCCUACAGCACCAAUCAAUGCAGGGCUUUACCCA